GUACAGAAUGACUCUCGACAACGGAUAUCUAGGCUCUUGCAUCGAUGAAGGACGUAGCGAAAUGCGAUACUUGGUGUGAAUUGCAGAAUCCCGUGAACCAUCGAGUCUUUGAACGCAAGUUGCGCCCGAAGCCAUUAGGCUCAGGGCACGUCUGCCUGGGUGUCACCCA
rnacentral:rRNA from 1 species